CUUUGAAAAAGUAAAAUCUUGUCCAGUGCAGAGUCAGUAAUGCAGAGUUUCAUUUAGAAUGAUUUUACUGUAUAGACAUUAAAAUAAUUUAAAGGUAUAACUAUACCUUUAAAUAAUUUAAUUGAAUUAGUACAUUUUACAUGUUUUAUUCAGCAUUAUAGAAACAUUCAAAAUAUAAAAUGUUAGUUAUUUUUUAAAAUUUCCGUCAAAAUAUCAGAAAUCUUUGUUAUGAAAUUUUCCAGGCCAUCAUACCUUUAGUUACAGGGGAUGGUAUGGAUUCUAUUUUUU
rnacentral:lncRNA from 1 species